AGAAAGGGCUUCUGCCAUCGGUGGCAUAUAUAGGGCAGCUCGCUUACUCUACAUGCAGAAUCGACAUCAAAAGAUUUUGGAAGCAUAAUUUUUUGACAGUAGGGCAGCUGGUGAUUUUUGGUUCUAGCACCCCC
rnacentral:snRNA from 1 species